rnacentral:miRNA from 1 species
GCAGACACAUUCCAGCCAAUCAGCAGCAGACCCUCCCUCCCAGACCCUCCCACCUCCUGUACAGCUCACUAAGAAUGCAGCUUCACAAUGAAUGUAAAAUGGAUGCUGUCCAGGAGGUGGGAGGGUCUGGGAGGGAGGGUCUGCUGCUGAUUGGCUGGAAUGUGUCUG